AGAGUUUGAUCCUGGCUCAGGACGAACGCUGGCGGCGUGCCUAAUACAUGCAAGUCGAGCGGAGUUAUUCAGGAGCUUGCUUCUGAAUAACUUAGCGGCGGACGGGUGAGUAACACGUAGGCAACCUGCCCUCAAGAUCGGGAUAACAUUCGGAAACGAAUGCUAAGACCGGAUAAUCAAGUUUGCCGCAUGGCGGACUU
rnacentral:rRNA from 1 species